GCCAACUCUGUUCAACCGGUUAGCCCUUCAGAUUAUAUACUCUUCCUGAGCCGGAGGUGAACUUCUUAUCCAAACUGGUGGCUUUGAAACCCGGAGAUACUGUGCUUGGCAUGAUAAGAAAUGUAAUGCAAGGAAAAGAUGAAGGUGUUGACAAUGCUGGUAAUGAUGAUGAAGGAAAUGCUGAAAGGUGAAUUUGAAGUGUCGCGGGUUUCACCCAUGUGAUCAUCUUAUUAAAUUAGAGCUUGUGAGUUUAUGCUAAUUUUGUAAAAGAGCUUAUUUGGUUUUGUUUCUUUUGUUGAAAACUUUAUGUUCCUGAAGAAUUUCUUUGUAAAGAUUUCAUCAUAGUAUAUGUUACAACUUAUAAAUGGAAAUCAAAUGAGCUCUAACUCUCUUGCAUGCUUAUGUCUUUCUGUUUGUUUGAUUAAAGUGCUUGACUUAUGUAUUCUUAGGACUGAGUAAACUUAUAUCAAGACAAACUGGAAUGUUUGCUUGAUUUAAUGCAAGGUAUGUGCUUAUUUUUUAAUAAUGUGUUGAAUGUGUGGGUUUGAAGAGGCCUUUUAGUGCAAAAAUUCUAGUUUGUAUUAGCAUUGUCCUAUCAUUCAGUUAUUCUGUGCA